GACGAACGCUGGCGGCGUGCUUAACACAUGCAAGUGGAGCGACGAACCAGGCUUCGGCCUGGGGCAGAGCCGCGAACGGGUGAGUAACACGUGGGUAACGUGCCCCAAUGAUCGGGACAA
rnacentral:rRNA from 1 species